GUUGCUCUGUGGAAGCAUAUGAAGCAAAUUCAGAGAUUACCAGCUUCAAACUCUCCAGCCCUUCAUCAUCAUCAUCAUCAUCACUGGCCACAGCUGUUAGCAGAAAGAUAGCUGAAUACCUGGCCUAGGAAGUGAGACAUGUUUUGGAGAGGCUGAAACACUGUGAUGCCAUCGCCAGCCUCAGCUGUGUGGAUAGGUGACAGGCCUCCAUAUUCAGUUGAAAUGGCAGGCUUGGGGUGUACAGACCAGAGGUUUUUCUCUGUGAGUUCCAUUUGUGAUUAGAAGAACGCAAAGGGGAUGAGGUAGGAGACCUGGGCACAGGCUAUGCCUCUGCUGAGAGUCCUUUCCCACCCUUUCUACUCAGCCCAUUCCAGUGCAGGCUCUGUGACUCAGCAGCCACUGGAUAAUGCUCUCUUCUAGUGAGUGCUGCCCUGACACAAACAACUGCCUUCAAGCUUCUAAAGAAAAAAAAAAAAAAAGGAAAAAUAUCUUACAUAAAGCAUCUUGAGAAGAAGCUCCAAAGGCUUGUUCCAGCAGAAAAAGGUAUGUCUCCUUACUCAUGGUGUGAGGGACAGUGCUGAGGGGACAGGCAUUUAUUAUGGGGCACAUUCUUAAAGCUUUACUUCUUCUUUCUAUUUUUUCCUUACAUUUGCUGUUUUAUACUCUCUGGCAAGCAGCAGAGCUCCACCAAUGCUGACUUGCAUAGCCCAUAGAGAUACUAAGGAAAUAUUUUUCCUAGCAACAAGCGGCACAUGAAAACACCAAGAAAAGCUUCCCCUGCUCAUAUUUCACUUCAGCUUUUUCAGUCAUCUGAUGCUGAGAUAAGAGCUGAGUGGUGAAACUUGCUACUAGUGGGUAUUUCACAGGGCAGCCUGGAAAAGGGGAGCGUAUAAAAAACUUUGUGCCUGUUGUUAGCGUAGGGGACUGAAACCACUGUGGUGUGGUGACCACCAUGCCGCCUGCAUCAGUGCUGCUAGGUUGCUCCCAUGCUGAGAUACUCUCAAGGGGUUCCUAGCUCACUGAGGUGAAUGGCGUUGCCUUAAGAUGGCAGCCAUGUCCAGGCUUGGAGAUGCAGUGGAUAAACAAAAUGGUGCUGUCUGGGGCAGCUGUCUUGGGAGUGCUUUCUGAGGCACCUGUUCCCACAGACCCCAGCACAGGUGAGGCUCUUGGACAUUGAUCUAAUGAAAACGCAACAGUUAAUGAGAGCUGAAGGGAUAUGAGUUGGAGCCCUUGGUGCGGUGAGGUUGGAUAUGUGGGAACUCUGCCACUGCCGUUGUGAGGUAAAUGGAGGAGAAAUAAUGGCAGCCUGUGCCCACAGGGCUCCCAAGGAGGCUCCUGCUUGGAGUCAGUGGGCAGGCAUCCGCUACAUGCUGGGGUCUGGGGAGCCCUGGCUGCAGCAGGUGCCCAGCACAUGACCAUGCUGAAAUAGCAUUCACAGAUGGCAAAAGGCUUUGUCAACACCAGCAAAUCACUACUUCUGCCUCCGCAAGCAGUUUCAGCCAAUGGUGGGAAAUACUUGAUGCCCGCAACCUCUGUUCAUGCUCUCUCUUUGAUGAGACUUCUGGGAUCUGUAAGGAAUAUUUUGUGGGACACGAAAUAAUGAACAGCCUCCAUUGUUCUGCUUUCUUCAGUUGGAGUUUUGGAGCAUCUGUUGCUUAGAAAAACCUGGUCUCUUUCAGAAGAAAGACAUUAAGAUAGAGUGGUAUUCUGUAGUCCAUACAUACACUGGAGAAAGCUUUGAUAGUUGAGAGACCAGUGGAAGCAGAAGAGCAAAUUAACAUUCCUAGUCAUUCCUGUGCCUGUUGCUGGUUGUAAGCACCGCAUGUCACUGCAUGGCUGGAACACCUUCAAACAGGGCUUCAUUUCCAGCAUUUUUUGUUGUUCUUGGUUACUGCUCAGCUGCUAAGAGCUGUUAAAAUGUUAGUCAACAUUUGAAUUUAACCCACCCUCUCUGUUCCACAUAACUAAUGUUCUCAUCGGAGACUUAUGGUCACAUUU